AUGCAUGGUUUAGGCCGGCGCUGUUCCUGGAAGCAACCAAGGUACCUUAGCAGAGGUAUAUGGCGCAUAUUCAGGUGGAGACACUGCCAACUGCCUUUUUUCAUAUGAACAGAGAGCUGCUGCAGGUGGACAGAUAGAAGAUUUCCACCUAUCCACUACCACUGGGACAUCCCCAGGAUUUCCAUUAUCCUCAAGAACAUCAGGCACUCAAGCAAAAGAUGAGCACGUCUGUUUCUGAGUGAUGCAAGAAGGAGGAGAAGGUCAUAUUCAUGCAAAUGACAACAAGGACACAGUGAAGUCUGCUGUGGGAAUCAUAACUCUGAAUUUCUACACAUUUGGGCAACAAAAUCUCAGUUAUAAGGCUUGACUGUGCAACUCUUACUCAUGCUGGUGAGAAUUUACACAAAUAGACCCAUUAAGGUCAAUAGGACAGCUCAUAUAAAUAUGUGCUCAUCAAAAUGCACAUUGAUGUUGCCAAAUGUCUUCCCAGAGGCACAGAGAAGGAUUGGUUGACCUGAAGAUGUUUAAAUAGACUCUGAACAAGAAUUGGCAGGUCAAAAGUCAAUAUGUGGAAGUGAGGCUAUUCCAGCAACUGAGACACAUGUGACUGCUGUGAAACACCUGGAACAUCUGUUGGUCUAUGCACCAUGGAAGAUCUUGCCAGGGUUACAGACUGGGCCACAUCAUACCAAACCCUGGAAAAACCUAUGACUGUGGUGGAAGAACAUGAGAAGAAGAAUCAACAAGAAUAGGAUUUGCACAAUCUGGCUUUAUAUUUUGCAUUAAUGUAGAAUGUAUUAUAAUGUGGGUUUUUAAAAAAAAAUUAGAGGAGAAAAAAAUAGAAAAUAAUCUAUCUAAACAAAAACAAAGCACAUGAAUUUAUUUGAACAUCUGAUUGGCAUAGAUAGCAGAGUGGACUGUUUUACAUUGAGAGAGAGAGAGAGCAUGCAAGAGGAUCAGGUUAUUAGGUAUUCUGGACAGGUGUCUGUCUAGCUUUCCUGUUGGAGCUGUUCCACUUUGUAUAAUUAAAUAUUCAUCAAGACAGACUCAAUAGCCCAGCGGUUAGAGCACGGCACUGGAAUGUGGGAACGCUGGAUUCAAAUCCCAGCUCUAAAUCAGGCAGAACAGGGAUUUGAAUCUGGCUUACCCCUAUCCCAGGUGAGUGCCCUAAUGAUCUGACUAUCCUGAGAUAGAUUUUUCUCUCAUGUUUUG